UACGAAGGGGGGCUAGCGUUGCUCGGAUUGACUGGGCGUAAAGGGCGCGUAGGCGGUCUGUACAGUCAGGCGUGAAAUUCCUGGGCUCAACCUGGGGGGCUGCGUUUGAUACGUGCAGACUAGAGUGCGGAAGAGGGUCGUGGAAUUCCCAGUGUAGAGGUGAAAUUCGUAGAUAUUUGGGAAGAACACCGGUGGCGAAGGCGGCGACCUGGUCCGAUACUGACGCUGAGGCGCGAAAGACGUGGGGAGCAAACAGG
rnacentral:rRNA from 1 species